GUGCCAGCAGCCGCGGUAAUACGGAGGAUCCAAGCGUUAUCCGGAAUUACUGGGCGUAAAGAGUUGCGUAGGUGGCAGAGUAAGUCUGUAGUGAAAGCGUUCGGCUCAACCGAAUACACAUUAUGGAAACUGCUCAGCUAGAGGAUGAGAGAGGUUAUUGGAAUUCCCUGUGUAGGAGUGAAAUCCGUAGAUAUAGGGAGGAACACCGAUGGCGUAGGCAGAUAACUGGCUCAUUCCUGACACUAAGGCACGAAAGCGUGAGGAUCAAACAGGAUUAAAUACCCUCGUAGUCC
rnacentral:rRNA from 1 species